GAUGAAGAACGCAGCGAAAUGCGAUAAGUAGUGUGAAUUGCAGAAUUCCGUGAAUCAUCGAAUCUUUGAACGCACAUUGCGCCCGUCAGUAUUCUGACGGGCAUGCCUGUCCGAGCGUCAUUUCAACCCUCAAGCACUGCUUGGCGUUGGCGGAUUGCGUGCCCUCGCGGCGCUGCAACCGCCCAAAUACAGUGGCGGUCCCGCUGCGGCUCCCUUUGCGUAGUAACUCACCUCGCACUGGACCGGGCGGCGGCCUGCCGUAAAACCCCAACUCACGAAAUGUUGACCUCGGAUCAGGUAGGAAUACCCGCUGAACUUAAGCAUAUCAAUAAGCGGAGGA
rnacentral:misc_RNA from 1 species